UGGGGAAUUUUGGACAAUGGGCGAAAGCCUGAUCCAGCAAUGCCGCGUGUGUGAAGAAGGCCUUCGGGUUGUAAAGCACUUUUGUCCGGAAAGAAAUCCUUGGCUCUAAUACAGUCGGGGGAUGACGGUACCGGAAGAAUAAGCACCGGCUAACUACGUGCCAGCAGCCGCGGUAAUACGUAGGGUGCAAGCGUUAAUCGGAAUUACUGGGCGUAAAGCGUGCGCAGGCGGUUUGCUAAGACCGAUGUGAAAUCCCCGGGCUCAACCUGGGAACUGCAUUGGUGACUGGCAGGCUAGAGUAUGGCAGAGGGGGGUAGAAUUCCACGUGCAGCAGUGAAAUGCGUAGAGAUGUGGAGGAAUACCGAUGGCGAAGGCAGCCCCCUGGGCCAAUACUGACGCUCAUGCACGAAAAGCGUGGGGAGCAAACAGGAUUAGAUACCCUGGUAGUCCACGCCCUAAAACGAUGUCAACUAGUUGUUGGGGAUUCAUUUCCUUAGUAACGUAGCUAACGCGUGAAGUUGACCGCCUGGGGAGUACGGUCGCAAGAUUAAAACUCAAAGGAAUUGACGGGGUCAUAGCUGUUUCCU
rnacentral:rRNA from 1 species